rnacentral:lncRNA from 1 species
CUAGCUGCAGCAGCCUGGGGGGACCUGGGGAUGCGGAAACUGAAACAACACACAGCUCCUUCUCAGCUUAAAAUCCUUGCCUGGCUCCCCAGAGCCUCCAGAUGAAAUACAGAGGCUCAGGCCUGAGCCACAGGGCCCCUCAACACCUGCCUGCUGCUCCCCAAUACCCCACUCCCCACCUCUCUCCAACACACACCUAAUGUUCCAGCUACAUGGAGUGGCACACAGCCCCUGAAGCCCAGAAGUCUUCCCCACGCUAGGUCCUCUUCCUGGAAUUCCCUUCCCCGCCUAAGAAGGAAGGAUGUGCUCCCUCUGCAAGACUCUAAUCAAAUGUGUGUAUUCAUCUCAGUACUGCCAAGGCCUGCCAUAGAGAUGUACUUGGGAUUUAAUAAGGUGGUUAACUAUGUUACUAGCUGUGUGACCUCGACCAAGUUAUUUAACCUCUCUGUGCUCUACUUUCCUCAUCUGAAAAAGGGGGAUGAUGGUAACAUACCUUAGAGGGUUGUUUGUGAGUAUUAAAUGAGGUAACAUAUGUAAACAGCUUAGGACCCUGCCUGCCAUAUAGUAUGUGCUUAAUAAAUGUGACCUCACAGUAAUCGUUUCUUUGGUGCCGGUGAGUGAUUUUUGAAGAUCUCUUCUACGUAAUAGACAAUGAACUAUGUUUAAGGUAUGCUCAAAGGCUCCAUUUGCAGUCUGUCUCAG